rnacentral:rRNA from 1 species
CGGUAAUUCCAGCUCCAAUAGCGUAUACUAAAGUUGUUGCAGUUAAAAAGCUCGUAGUUGGAUUUCUGCGGGGACGGAGCGGCCGGACGCAACUUGCGUCUCGAGCUAGCGCUUUCCCCGCAUCCUGCCGCGAACCGUGCUACCAUUAGUUUGGUGGCGCUGGGGAUCGGCUCGAUUACUUUGAGAAAAAUAGAGUGUUCAAAGCAGGCCACACGCCUUGAAUAAGUUAGCAUGGAAUAAUGACUAAGGACUUUGGUUCUUUUCGUUGGUGUUCGGGACUGAAGUAAUGAUUGAUAGGGACAGUUGGGGCGGUCCGUAUUCCAAAGCGAGAGGUGAAAUUCUUAGACCUUCGGAAGACGAACAGCUGCGAAAGCGUUCCGCAAGGAUGUUCCCUUUGAUCAAGAACGAAAGUUGGGGGAUCGAAGACGAUCAGAUACCGUCGUAGUCUCAACUAUAAACUAUACCAGCUAGGGAUCGGCCAACGUUUAAUUAUUCGACUUGGUCGGCACCUUAUGAGAAAUCAAAGCAUCUGGGUUCCGGGGGGAGUAUGGUCGCAAGGCUGAAACUUAAAGGAAUUGACGGAAGGGCACCACCAGGCGUGGAGCCUGUGGCUUAAUUUGACUCAACACGGGAAAACUUACCAGGUCCAGACAUAGGAAGGAUUGACAGAUUGAUAGCUCUUUCUUGAUUCUGUGGGUGGUGGUGCAUGGCCGUUUUUAGUCGGUGAAGUGAUUUGUCUGCUUAAUUGCGUUAACGGACGAGACCCCAGCCUGCUAAAUAGCGCGGCCGAGCUUUGCUCGGUACGAGCUUCUUAGAGGGACCAUGAUGCGCGAUAGCACAAGGAAGUUUGGGGCAACAACAGGUCUGUGAUGCCCUUAGAUGUUCUGGGCCGCACACGGGCUACACUGGCGCCUGCAACGAGCAUAUCAGCUGGCCCGAGAGGGUCUUGGCUAAUCUUUGGAACCGGCGCCGUGCUUGGGAUUGACCAUUGCAAUUGUUGGUCAUGCAACGAGGAAUGCCUUGUAAACGCGAGUCAUCAGCUCGCAUUGAAUACGUCCCUGCCCUUUGUACACACCGCCCGUCGCUCCUACCGAUGAAUGUUCCGAUGAAAUUUUCGGAGAACGGGGCUCUGCCCUGCAGAACUGGAGGCUCAAAGUCACUUAAAUCUGAACAUUUCGAGGAAGGAGAAGUCGUAACAAGGUAGCCG